UGGCGGACGGGUGAGUAACGCGUUGGUGACCUGCCCCAAAGUGUGGGAUAACAGUCCGAAAGGAUUGCUAAUACCGCAUGUGGUCCCCGGAUUUAGAAACCGGUGACUAAAGCAGCAAUGCGCUUUGGGAGGGACCUGCGUCCCAUCAGCUAGUUGGUGAGGUAACGGCUCACCAAGGCGACGACGGGUAGGGGACCUGAGAGGGUGGCCCCCCACAAUGGAACUGAAACACGGUCCAUACACCUACGGGUGGCAGCAGUAGGGAAUAUUGCACAAUGGGCGAAAGCCUGAUGCAGCAACGCCGCGUGUGCGAUGAAGGCCUUCGGGUCGUAAAGCACUUUUCUGAGAGAUGAGCAAGGACAGUAUCUCAGGAAUAAGUCUCGGCUAACUACGUGCCAGCAGCCGCGGUAAU
rnacentral:rRNA from 1 species